UAUAACUACAAAUAUAUGGUAGCUCCAAUAAACGCAAUCUACCAACAUUUGUUCUUGUUCUACAAACCUUAAAUUACUUUUCAUUAAACAGAAAUUUUGAAAUCAAAUUCCACAACAGUCGCAUGAUAAACAUUAGUAAAUUUAUCGAGAAAAAGAAGAAAAAAUAAACCGACAAGGCGGUGGUGGGAUUGAAGAAGAAGAAGAAAUUAACCGACAAGGCGGUGGUGGACAACGGCUGAGAUCAGCUAGAUUUCUUUACUUUGCUCCGGCGAUCUCUCGUCUCUCUCCGGCGAUUUUAUUGUGAGAAAUGUCUUUGCUCUCGGCUUUGCUCCGGCGAUCUCUCUCGUCUCUCUCGUCUCUCUCCGGUGAUCCCGUCAUGGGUUUUCAGAGUUGCUAAGCUGACAGAGUAGUAAUGAGAUUGGGAAGAUGGGUUUAUUGAAGAAAAAGGAUUCAACUUCAGACAACAACAUAUUAACGAUGAUUGCCGACAAGAAGAAGAAGAAGACAAGAAGCUGUUGGUCACGGACAAGAAGCUUUUGGUCACGGACAAGAAGCAAUCACGGACCUGCAUCUUUUUCUCACGGACAAGAAAGCUUUUGCUUAGAGUCACAUGUUAUGUUCACGGACGAGAGUGUCAUGCCUUUGUAACACCACAAGGUCAUCAAUAUAUAAGACCAUCUUCGUAGACACAUAAAUAUCAAGCUUUUUCAUCUUUGUACCCACAAUUUGUACUCACAAUAUCAAGCUUUUUCA